CUAGAACUUCCACAUGAAAGGGACUUGAGGCAGGCGUCUUGUUAGAGGGGCCAACAUUUUCCCUGCAUUGAACUUCAGAGUCAAAAUAUUCAAGAAGUCAACAUUGGAGGAGAAAAGGGACAGGAUCUACAUAUUCUGCAUCACCAGAACCCGUGGUCUGCAUAUGUGGCCAACAUUAGUGCCAUUCACUGAUGGUUCUGAUUUUCUUCCUUCUGGGUAAUUCCCCUCUGUCUUGAAGAUGAGCAUGGUCAUAGGACUUGACUUGGUCAAUGAAACAUGAGCAGAAGGGAUGCAUGUCACUUCC
rnacentral:lncRNA from 1 species